rnacentral:lncRNA from 1 species
AAAAGACAUCCAAGAUCAUCAACUCCAACCCUGCACCGCCAGGUCCAACACUGAGCCACGGAUGGCGCCUGCCCCUGAAGCCGGGGAGAAGCCACCCAAGCUGUGUUUGGGAUGGGUGGUUACGGUGGGUAAUUAAUUCUUCUUUGGGGCCAAACAGCCCAAAAUCCUGCACGGGGCUGGGAGCAGGGAAGCACAGCAGGCGGGGAGGCUCCAUCCCGGGACAAGAGGACCGUCCAUCCCGAGCCGCCUCCAUCCCGAGCCGCCUCCAUCCCGAGCCGCCUCCAUCGGAGCCCCACGGAGCUUACCCGGCCCGGGCUCCCCGCAGCCCUGCCCGCUCCUUCCUGCUUCCUGCCGCCGGCGGAAAGGCCGGGGCCGCUCCUUUUCCCGUGCCGGUUCUCCCAUCCCGCCGGGGUUCCCUUCCUUGUCCCGGCUCUCCCAUCCCGCCGGGGUUCCCUUCCUUGUCCCGGUGCUCCCAUCCCGCCGGGGUUUCUCUUCCUUGUCCCGGCUCUCCCAUCUCACCGGGGUUUCCUUUUCCCAGCCCGGCUCUUCCAUCCCGCCGAUGUUCCCUUCCUUGUCCCGGUUCUCCCAUCCCGCCGGGGUUUCUGUUCCUUGUCCCGGCUCUCCCAUCCCGCCGGGGUUUCCUUUUCCCAGCCCGGUUGUGCCAUCCCGCUAGGGUUUGUCUUCCUUGUCCCGGCUCUCCCGUUUCGCUAGAGUUUCCUUUCCCCGUCCCGUUUCUCCCAUCCCGCUCCGGUUCCCUUUCCCCAUCCCGACUCUCCCAUCCCGCUGGGGUUUCCUUUUUCCUUUCCCCGUCCCAGCUCUCCCAUUCCGCUAAGGUUGUCUUUUCCCAUCCAGGCUCUCCCAUCCCGCCGGGGUUUCCUUUCCCCGGCCCGGCUCUCCCAUCCCACCGGGGUUUCCUUUUCCCAUCCAGGCUCUCCCAUCCCGCCGGGGUUUCUGUUCCUUGUCCCGGCUCUCCCAUCCCGCCGGGGUUCCCUUUCCCCGGCCCGGCUGUCCCACCCCGCUCCGGUUCCCCUGCUCUCGCCGGGAUCAGCACAGCGCUAAGGUCCCUUGCCAC